rnacentral:tRNA from 1 species
CUGGGGAUGCAGCUCAGUGGAAGAGCACUUGCCUAGCAAGCCAGGUGCUCUGGUUCAAUCCCAGCAUCAUGGGG